CGGGAGGCCCGGGUUCGGUUCCCGGCCAAUGC
rnacentral:piRNA from 1 species